rnacentral:rRNA from 1 species
AUUGAACGCUGGCGGUAUGCUUAACACAUGCAAGUCGAACGAGGUGCUUUUGUAGCAAUACGAGGGUAUCCUAGUGGCGAACGGGUGAGUAACGCGUUGGUGACCUGCCCCAAAGUGUGGGAUAACAGUUCGAAAGGAUUGCUAAUACCGCAUGUGGUCAUUGGAUCUAGAAACCGAUGACUAAAGCAGUAAUGCGCUUUGGGAGGGACCUGCGUCCCAUCAGCUAGUUGGUGAGGUAACGGCCCACCAAGGCUACGACGGGUAGGGGGCCUGAGAGGGUGGCCCCCCACAAUGGAACUGAAACACGGUCCAUACACCUACGGGUGGCUG